GCGAGGAAGGAGGAAUAGGAGGAAGGCAGGAUGUAUUAGCGUGGCAAGGCAAGGAGACACAAGACUGAAGACUGUGCUGAGAAAGUAAAAAGAACAAGUUGAUAAAGGAAGAGACAAGUGUGAGGAAAAGGAUGCAGAGGAGGAGUAGGAGGAGUAAGGUCUCCGCAGCCCGAUAAUAUAAUACAGCUCGGGUCAGACAGCGCCGCCAACUCCCUCAGAAGACUACAUAAAACCUGUUCCCAACUUUGUCACCUUGAUGAGUGCGGUGUAUGGGCGACUGUGGCUGGCCUCGCCUCGCCUGGUGCUCGGGCAGGCAGACAGAUGGCGCCACGGAUAAAGGGACCAACAGAUUGAGAAAACAUGGCAUUUGUGGACGCACGAUUUGGUCUUUAUUGAACAGGUGAGUCUUGUAAACA